ACAUUAUUUUCAUAAAAAUGAUCUCAUUUCAGUCUUACAAUAAUCUCUGAUAAUAUAUGAGUUCUUUACUCCAUUUUAUAGAUUUGAAGUCUAUAUCUCAGAGGGAUGAUCUGAACAUACUCUUCAUUAUAGAGGAAAUAAGAAAAAGCAACCAAGAGCAUUGUUAUUGGUAUCUGGAAUUGAAUUUGCCAGGAAUGCAAGCACAGCUUCCUCAGUAAAGAUCUUGCCUUUGGAAACAUCUUACCCCUUGGCAGCUCUCCAGAGUUCAGACUUGGCAGCAUCAAGGACACAACACAAGGUGUGUUUAUUUGAUUUAACAUUUGGCAAAAGGUGUUUUGACUUGUGGUUUGUUUUCUUUCACUUGUU
rnacentral:lncRNA from 1 species